GUCAGUAGCAAGGCUUGCGGCGCCGGCGAUACGUUUGGCGGCCCUGGCGCUUGACGUCCCAGAAGUAGCAGCGCUACUCGCGUUCGCCACCUGCUCUGCGGCGGCACUGUCGCUCUGACGAGGCUUUCGCUCCGCGGUUGACAGACGGGCCGCCACUGUGGGGGUCGCGGUUCCGUAUUUCGGUCGUUUGUUCUUCGUCUGGGACAGAGUUGUGGUGGUGGUGCCCAUGGUGGCAGUAGCCCCACCCUCGUCGCCUUCGGAUUGACGCGUUGCGCGGACGCGGGGCCGUUGAGACGCCGGCGUCGUGCUGCUGGUGCCCGCUGAGGCUUCGGCGUAGCCUGGAAGCGGUGGCGACCCUAAUCUUGGAGUUCUCUCUCCUGGAGUUGGUGCUUCCAACGUACGAGUGGCCGUUCGUCCUCCAGGAGUUAGGCCUCCGGGUGUACGGCCACCUGGAGUCCGUCCGCCGGGAGUUCGUCCACCGGGGGUUCGCUCGCUCGCAGUACGACUGCCAGAAGUCUCCCCGCCAGUGGAGGUCGCUUGCUCAACCGGCGGUAGGGUUUGUCCACCAGGAGUACGCCCUCCAGGAGUUCGACUGCCUGGAGUUCGACCACCUGGGGUUCGAGUACCGGGAGUUCGUCCGCCGGGUACUCCCCCUGCAGGAGUUUUUUGACCGGGAGUACGACCACCUGUUAGCCACCCGCUGAACGGCCACAAGCGGCCUCGCUGUCGUCCCUUGGCCCACACGUCGACUGGAGCAUUUCUGUCGAACGCCCUGCCCCGAGUUAGCUGCUCGUGGUUUCAUCUUCGACGUCUUGCUCUGCGUUGAGACAAGUGUCAACCUGGCGUCCGACAUCAUGCUGCUCAAGGUGCUCAAUCAACCGGCCGAAGUGGUGGAGACGUUGCGCAAGUUCCUGACGUUGAACACCGGAACCAUAGUGUUUUGCUGCGUAGUCCACAUAGCCGCAUCCCACUACACAGCUCAGAAUGUCCGCGUGGAAGGAGCUAGAUCCGUCAAAGAAGAAAAUGAUGUGCGGG
rnacentral:lncRNA from 1 species